UCCUUCCAGAAUUUAACGUUUCAUCACUGAAAUUCAUUAAGCCAUUCUUUCUGUUAAAAUUCUGCAGGAACCUGGGAAAGUUGUCCACCUUCUAGAACUAGAGAAGAAAAUCUUGUGGGGUUAUUAUUCUGGCUUUUUUUUUAAAGGAAUUGAAAGUAAAAAAUGGACAAAACUGCCAUUUCCUUUUCAAAUGGUACAUUAUCUCAUUUGGAAACAUUGGAGGCUUCUGCCCACAAUGUAGCAUUGAAACAAGAGAAAAUAAGGGAACAUGAGGAGAAGAUACUGAAGAUGAAAAUGAAAAUCCAGGAGCUGAGAAACCAAAGAGAUGAGCUGAAAACCAAACUAAAUAUUUGUCAAUCACAGUCCACUCCAGGCAAAGAUGCUAUGAAAAACAGUUUGCCUGUUUCUCAGGCUACAGCGAAAAGCCAACAGGCCAUCUUAAAGCGGAAGAUAGAGAAUGCCAAGGGUCUGCUAGAACUUUUUCGUCUGACAGGUACUUUUGUCACAUGUUGAUAAGAUUCUAUUCUUAGGCUAGUCAGUGGCCUGGCAAUAUGG
rnacentral:lncRNA from 1 species